rnacentral:rRNA from 1 species
AUUGAACGCUGGCGGCAUGCCUUACACAUGCAAGUCGAACGGCAGCACGGGUGCUUGCACCUGGUGGCGAGUGGCGAACGGGCGAGUAAUACAUCGGAACAUGUCCUGUAGUGGGGGAUAGCCCGGCGAAAGCCGGAUUAAUACCGCAUACGAUCUACGGAUGAAAGCGGGGGACCUUCGGGCCUCGCGCUAUAGGGUUGGCCGAUGGCUGAUUAGCUAGUUGGUGGGGUAAAGGCCUACCAAGGCGACGAUCAGUAGCUGGUCUGAGAGGACGACCAGCCACACUGGGACUGAGACACGGCCCAGACUCCUACGGGAGGCAGCAGUGGGGAAUUUUGGACAAUGGGCGAAAGCCUGAUCCAGCAAUGCCGCGUGUGUGAAGAAGGCCUUCGGGUUGUAAAGCACUUUUGUCCGGAAAGAAAUCCUUGGCCCUAAUACGGUCGGGGGAUGACGGUACCGGAAGGAUAAGCACCGGCUAACUACGUG